CCUGACUCGUAGGAAGCGCUCGGUGACUGUGAGCUGUCCCCAUCACCAAGCCCAUAAGCCAGGCGGCUGGGGCACAGGCUGUCGCAGCAUCCUGCAUGGAGGAAGCAAUCUGGAUGUGGCCCUUCCUGUGUGCAGACAAGGUCAGUUACUCAACCUCUCUGAGCCACAGUUUCUUCAUCUGCUAAAUGGAAAGAGGAAAAUCCUGAUGAUGCACAGGGUACCUGGAGGAUAAAGUGAGACUCUCCAGGGAGGUCCUGAGCUCAGGGCCCAGCUGAAGCUCGUGCUUCAGGCGAGCUGCCCUCUCCACGUGGCAGGUGAAAAGGAGCUGCGAGGAGCUGGACAAAAGGGAAGACCUUUAGAGGCAGACGGGAGUGGAACAUGGAAGCUAUGCCAGCAAAAAGCCAACAGUUGGUCGUGGCAAGGUCGAAUCCAGGGGUCGGUGAGACCGAUGACCUCCCUCCUGCGCAUCGGGUCAUUCCUGGUGGACUGGUUUGGGGCUCCUUUUCCACGAGAACCAAAACUGUCAUUACGUCUUGGUUUGGUGGGGGAGGGGCUUAGCAUAAGUGACUCCAAUUUGGGCCUGUCUUGUUUUUAACACUAGUCUCUCUCAUCUAAACUGACACUUUGGUGUUAUUCGACCCAUUUUACAGGCAAGGCAGACGAGUCCCCCUUUGCCAGAAGUCGACCAUCAGGGAAGUAGAAGAGAUGGGCCUGGAGCCCACAGGUCUUGGUUCUGGGAUAUUUUGGUUUCCGUUCUGGAGACCAGACUGCCAACCAAGGUGGUAACCUCAUACGACUCUUCACCUCUCUGAGCCUCAGCUGACGCAGCUGGUGCCCUGUGCCUCCCGCCUGGUGGAAAAGGGGCUGCAAAAGCGCUUUGUACUCGUGAAUAAUAUCAUUGUCAUUAUUAUUAUUACUAUUGGGAGCAGAGUCCCCAACUCCAUCGUGUCCUCUGGGCCUCUUCAGCCCAGCACCUCCAUCCCCCUGCGUGCCACCCCCACCCUAAGCCAGGCCACUGUCAUCUCACUGGGACUGCAUCUCUCCUCCCGCUCUCAGCCUAGCCUCCUCUGAGUCACUCUCCACUUAGCGUUCCAAGAGAGCCUGGAGGAAGUUGAUCACGGCUUGUGAAGAACGCUGUCCCUCUUGCUCAGCAUAGAAUCCAGGGUCGUCCGUGCGGGCAGCCUGGCCCUGCGUGCCCCGGCCCUCCCACUCUCCCUGCACUCCAGCUGCACCAAGGCCACCUUCCUAUUUCUCAUAUCCACUGAACUUGUUUCCACCCCUGGCCCUUUGCACACACUGUUCCCUCUCCCUGGAAUGCUCUUCCCUGCA
rnacentral:lncRNA from 1 species